rnacentral:rRNA from 1 species
UACGAAGGGGGCUAGCGUUGCUCGGAAUGACUGGGCGUAAAGGGCGCGUAGGCGGUUUGUACAGUCAGGUGUGAAAUUCCCGGGCUCAACCUGGGGGUUGCACUUGAUGCGUAUGGACUGGAGUGGGGAAGAGGGUCGUGGAAUUCCCAGUGUAGAGGUGAAAUUCGUAGAUAUUGGGAAGAACACCGGUGGCGAAGGCGGCGACCUGGUCCUUGACUGACGCUGAGGCGCGAAAGCGUGGGGAGCAAACAGG